CGUUAAGUUGCAGGGUAUAGACCCGAAACCCGGUGAUCUAGCCAUGGGCAGGUUGAAGGUUGGGUAACACUAACUGGAGGACCGAACCGACUAAUGUUGAAAAAUUAGCGGAUGACUUGUGGCUGGGGGUGAAAGGCCAAUCAAACCGGGAGAUAGCUGGUUCUCCCCGAAAGCUAUUUAGGUAGCGCCUCGUGAAUUCAUCUCCGGGGGUAGAGCACUGUUUCGGCAAGGGGGUCAUCCCGACUUACCAACCCGAUGCAAACUGCGAAUACCGGAGAAUGUUAUCACGGGAGACACACGGCGGGUGCUAACGUCCGUCGUGAAGAGGGAAACAACCCAGACCGCCAGCUAAGGUCCCAAAGUCAUGGUUAAGUGGGAAACGAUGUGGGAAGGCCCAGACAGCCAGGAUGUUGGCUUAGAAGCAGCCAUCAUUUAAAGAAAGCGUAAUAGCUCACUGGUCGAGUCGGCCUGCGCGGAAGAUGUAACGGGGCUAAACCAUGCACCGAAGCUGCGGCAGCGACACUGUGUGUUGUUGGGUAGGGGAGCGUUCUGUAAGCCUGUGAAGGUGUGCUGUGAGGCAUGCUGGAGGUAUCAGAAGUGCGAAUGCUGACAUAAGUAACGAUAAAGCGGGUGAAAAGCCCGCUCGCCGGAAGACCAAGGGUUCCUGUCCAACGUUAAUCGGGGCAGGGUGAGUCGACCCCUAAGGCGAGGCCGAAAGGCGUAGUCGAUGGGAAACAGGUUAAUAUUCCUGUACUUGGUGUUACUGCGAAGGGGGGACGGAGAAGGCUAUGUUGGCCGGGCGACGGUUGUCCCGGUUUAAGCGUGUAGGCUGGUUUUCCAGGCAAAUCCGGAAAAUCAAGGCUGAGGCGUGAUGACGAGGCACUACGGUGCUGAAGCAACAAAUGCCCUGCUUCCAGGAAAAGCCUCUAAGCAUCAGGUAACAUCAAAUCGUACCCCAAACCGACACAGGUGGUCAGGUAGAGAAUACCAAGGCGCUUGAGAGAACUCGGGUGAAGGAACUAGGCAAAAUGGUGCCGUAACUUCGGGAGAAGGCACGCUGAUAUGUAGGUGAAGUCCCUCGCGGAUGGAGCUGAAAUCAGUCGAAGAUACCAGCUGGCUGCAACUGUUUAUUAAAAACACAGCACUGUGCAAACACGAAAGUGGACGUAUACGGUGUGACGCCUGCCCGGUGCCGGAAGGUUAAUUGAUGGGGUCAGCGCAAGCGAAGCUCUUGAUCGAAGCCCCGGUAAACGGCGGCCGUAACUAUAACGGUCCUAAGGUAGCGAAAUUCCUUGUCGGGUAAGUUCCGACCUGCACGAAUGGCGUAAUGAUGGCCAGGCUGUCUCCACCCGAGACUCAGUGAAAUUGAACUCGCUGUGAAGAUGCAGUGUACCCGCGGCAAGACGGAAAGACCCCGUGAACCUUUACUAUAGCUUGACACUGAACAUUGAGCCUUGAUGUGUAGGAUAGGUGGGAGGCUUUGAAGUGUGGACGCCAGUCUGCAUGGAGCCGACCUUGAAAUACCACCCUUUAAUGUUUGAUGUUCUAACGUGGACCCGUGAUCCGGGUUGCGGACAGUGUCUGGUGGGUAGUUUGACUGGGGCGGUCUCCUCCUAAAGAGUAACGGAGGAGCACGAAGGUUGGCUAAUCCUGGUCGGACAUCAGGAGGUUAGUGCAAUGGCAUAAGCCAGCUUGACUGCGAGCGUGACGGCGCGAGCAGGUGCGAAAGCAGGUCAUAGUGAUCCGGUGGUUCUGAAUGGAAGGGCCAUCGCUCAACGGAUAAAAGGUACUCCGGGGAUAACAGGCUGAUACCGCCCAAGAGUUCAUAUCGACGGCGGUGUUUGGCACCUCGAUGUCGGCUCAUCACAUCCUGGGGCUGAAGUAGGUCCCAAGGGUAUGGCUGUUCGCCAUUUAAAGUGGUACGCGAGCUGGGUUUAGAACGUCGUGAGACAGUUCGGUCCCUAUCUGCCGUGGGCGCUGGAGAACUGAGGGGGGCUGCUCCUAGUACGAGAGGACCGGAGUGGACGCAUCACUGGUGUUCGGGUUGUCAUGCCAAUGGCACUGCCCGGUAGCUAAAUGCGGAAGAGAUAAGUGCUGAAAGCAUCUAAGCACGAAACUUGCCCCGAGAUGAGUUCUCCCUGACCCUUUAAGGGUCCUGAAGGAACGUUGAAGACGACGACGUUGAUAGGCCGGGUGUGUAAGCGCAGCGAUGCGUUGAGCUAACCGGUACUAAUGAACCGUGAGGCUUAACCUUACAACGCCGAAGGUGUUU
rnacentral:rRNA from 1 species